rnacentral:misc_RNA from 1 species
GGAGCCCAUAUGCUUCUUUGUCACUUCACUUCAUUUUGCCCUUGCCUAUGCAUUCUUUCUUAGGACAUCCGUUGAACCAUCUUUUGAAGGCUACUUCCAGCGCCGGUUCAAAGCCAAGCAGAAGAAACUCAUGGAAAUCCACAGCUUUGAUAUGCAAAAAUAUACCGAGCUUCGAAAAGCUUUUUAUCCAAAUUUAGGCUAUGGGUUUCCUCACUCGGAACAUUACAAGCCAUUGAACAGCGAUGAGGGAGCAUUUCUUUGAUCCAAGCAGCAUUAAAAUGAGCGAGUAAUUUUCAAGCAAUAAAUAGCACAAAAGGAGCAAAAAAUUUUGAACAUUUGGUGAUAAACCUAUUCAUUCGGUUUGGUGUAGGUCUAUCUAGUUGAGAGAGCAUAAAAGUUUGGACUCCAUAGUCUAUAUACAGAAAAGGAGGAAUAGGGUCUAACAGUGACCCAUGUAUAUAUUUUGGACAGUGUCAUUAGUGACUAGACUUGUGGCUUGGUUCUCAGUAGUUUUGGACUGGCUCUCGGCCUAAGCCCCCUAAAAUCAGUUGUAUUAUGGUUCCAGUGUCCACUAUGGGAUUACAUUCCUCUGCUAUAGACCCCGUAAAUUGUGAAGUGGUCUUAAUUUUCUCCCCUGUAAAGCAUAAAUGUCCGAAUACAAGUACCUUAAUUUUGUCUAAUAUUUUCUU